GACGAACGCUGGCGGCGUGCCUAAUACAUGCAAGUAGAACGCUGAAGGAGGAGCUUGCUCUUCUGGAUGAGUUGCGAACGGGUGAGUAACGCGUAGGUAACCUGCCUGGUAGCGGGGGAUAACUAUUGGAAACGAUAGCUAAUACCGCAUAACAGUAGAUGUUGCAUGACAUUUACUUAAAAGGUGCAAUUGCAUCACUACCAGAUGGACCUGCGUUGUAUUAGGUAGUUGGUGGGGUAACGGCUCACCAAGGCGACGACAGAGAGCCGACCUGAGAGGGUGAACGGCGCCACUGGGACUGAGACGCGGCACAGACUCCUACGGGAGGCAGAGGUAGGGACGGUUCGGAAAUGGACGGAAGUCUGAACGAGGAACGCCAGGUGAGUGAAGCAGGGCUUCGGAUCGGAAAACUGCGUUGUAAGAGAAGAACGAGUGUGCUAGUGAAAAAUUGACAUUGUGACGGUACCUUACCAGAAAGCGACGGCUAACUACGUG
rnacentral:rRNA from 1 species